UACAGAGGGUGCAAGCGUUGUUCGGAAUUACUGGGCGUAAAGCGUGCGCAGGCGGCUUCUCAAAUCAGGGGUGAAAGCCCAGAGCUCAACUCUGGAAUUGCCUUUGAGACUGAGUGGCUUGAGUACGAGAGAGGUGAGUGGAAUUCCCAGUGUAGAGGUGAAAUUCGUAGAUAUUGGGAAGAACACCGGUGGCGAAGGCGGCUCACUGGCUCGUAACUGACGCUGAGACGCGAAAGCGUGGGGAGCAAACAGG
rnacentral:rRNA from 1 species